AGGUUGACACUCCAAAAUACACCAGAAGGCAAACGGCAGCAAUAUCAUCCACUGGCAAAUCAUUUCCACCUAACCUGAAAGGAAGAACAUCAUCGACAUAGUGGAAAGUUCGUCCGAGAACAACGGAUAUGAUUGUCAUUACCCCAAGUGCGCCAAAAGUCCCAAGGAAAGUGACAACGGCUGAAUUCCUAGCUGCUAAAAGAGCAGCAAUAAAGAAG
rnacentral:misc_RNA from 1 species